rnacentral:lncRNA from 1 species
UCUAAUUCAGGGCUUUCAAUCUGCCUUUUUAAAACAUGGUGCUUCUGCCAGUCAUAGUGGUGUAGUGAUGCAUAUGUGUAAUCCUAGAGACUCAGGAGGCUGAGGCAGGAGGAUUGCAAGUUCAAGACCAACCUCAGCAAUUUAGCAAGGCCCUAAGCAAUUUCCAGGAGAUCCUGUUUCAAAAAUAAAAAUAAAAAUAAAAAAGGCUGGGGAUGUAGCUCAGUGGUAAAGAGUCUCUGGGUUAAAUUAAAACAAAACAACAACAACAACAAAAAAAAAAACCUGCUUCUUGUUGUGAAGACAAACCUCUGGAGGCACGGUGCUACUGACUCUUUUUGUAUGUGUCUGUCUGUGCGUCCUUGACACUUCCCCAUACUGUGGCACUCAUUUUACAGAAGAAUAAGCAAAAACUUGGAGAGAUGCAGGGACUUGUUAAGAUUUCCCUAGAGCUAAUAGUGGCAAUGCUGGUCUGACAUCCAAGGUCAGAGAAUUCACAGUGCCAAUCUGCCUCCGGUCCUGGUCUUGAUCUUUGGCUUCUCCAGGGCUGCUGGUACUGGUGUUCUCUCAGAAGGCUCCCAACAACCUUGGACACACAGGCACGAGGUGGCACUUGGUUUUGUGCAGGAGGUGCUGCAGCACAGGGCCAGUAGCUGUUCCCAAGGAAAAGCCUGCAUGAAUGACAGACUUGACUUCCUCACAAAGCUGCUGGUUUCCAGCCCUGAUGCCUCCUUCCCUCCUACCUCCUACUCUUCCUUCCCUCCAUCCAUCUUGCUGUAUUGCUCAGGCUGAUCUCCGACUUCUGGUUUCAAAUGAUCCUCCCACCUCAGUCUCCUGAGUAGCUGCUACUACAGAUGUGCACCAGACAAACCAGGCUUGACCCAUUCUUCAAAGCCUAACUUCAACUGCACCUCCUCUUUGGAGCCUCUUCUGAUUUCUUUCUUUCUCGAAGGCUCCUCCUCCUACCAUACUGGGAACGGAUUCACUUCCUUGUUGUAAUUGUCCUUGAAUAGUUGACCUCUCAGAGCUUUAAUUCCUCCACCUGGAAAACUGCCUAUAAAGCUGUGGGAGGACUGAGUUAAAAGAAAUAAUAGUGGGGCUGCGGCUGGGGCUCGGUGGUAGAGUGCUCGCCUGGCAUGCAUGAGGCACUGGGUUCGAUCCUCAGCACCACAUAAAAGUAAAGAAAUUGAAGUCCAUCAACAACUAAACAAAUACAAAAAAAGAAAGAAAGAAAGAAUAGUGACUGUAAUUUCAACAGCUCCGGAGGCUGAGGCAGGACAGAUUCCAGUUUGAGGCCAGCCUGGGCAAGUUAGGGAGCCUUGUCUCAAAACCAAAAAUAAAAAGGGCUGGGAAUGGACAUCAGUGGUAGAGUACCCCUGGGUUCAAUCCCUAGUGCAAAAAGAAAAAAGGAAACAAAAGGGGACUAUGGACAGUAGUUC